rnacentral:lncRNA from 1 species
GAACCCCUCAAUCUGCCCCUUCUGACCCACCCAGAACCCCUCAAUCUGCUCCUUCUGCCCCACACAGAACCCCUCAGUCUGCCUCUUCUACCGCACCCAGAACCCCUCAAUCUGCCUCUCCUGCCCCACCCAAGAUCUCUCAAUCUGCCCCUUCUGACCCACACAGAACCCCUCAAUCUGCCCCUUCCAACCCACCCAGAACCCCUCAAUCUGCCCCUUCUGCCCCAUCUGACCCACGCAGAGCACCCCACUGCCCCACGCUGUUUGGGACAGGAGCUGAGGGACGCGGGGAGGAGCCCACGUUGUUCUGCUCCACACACCCAGGCUGUGUUCCCAGCAGUUGGAAAUUUCUGAUAGCACCUUUUGGGAUAAUUUCACGUUAUAGGGGUUGGACUUGAUCUCUUGAGGUCAAUUCUACUCCCUGCAAUUCUGUGAUGCUCUGUGUUGGAAGUCACUUUGUCUCUGCGUGGCUCUUGGUUGUUUUUUUCCUGCUCAGGAAAGAGAGGUGGUGGAGAGCCCUUUACCCUGUCAUAUUUGCUCGUCCAUCUCAAGGACAGCUGACAGCGAAGCAUCAGGUCUGCACUCCUUGUGUUUGCUCUCAGCAGUGCCAAUGGACCCAUCCUCAAGCAGCAAGGCUGCAGACAUCGCUCCUUCAGUGACUUCAGAAGGGCAUGUAAUAAACAAUGCAGAAGACAGGGAAGUUGAAAAACACGACUAGGAAUGCUGGCACAGACCAUGAGGCUCUCCUUGCACAGUUUGGAUACCUGAACCAUCAGAAUCCUGGCGGGUGAAAUUCAUUGCUUGGGGAUUUUGAUCAGAGCAGUGAGUGCGAGAUAUAAACUACUGUGGCUGUGCAUUCUGUGGAGUGAAAAGCAGAGAAAGAAGUCACUCAAGUUAAAGCCUAGAACCAGAACGAAAGCACUAUCUUAUGAUGUGGGCAAUUGUCUGAAAUAUGUCAUGUAGGUGACCCAGUCCCACACCCAGCAGUAAUCGCCAAAUUCCAGGUCAGUAUUGGUUUUGAAUGACUUAAGUUGCAACCAAGAAUGAAGUUGCUUUAUCCCGGUGUUCUUCACCCAGGUCUCAGCAAGCACCCAUGCUGCAGCAUCCUUUGAGCAGUUGUAGCUCAUGCAGCUGUCAGAAAAUGUACUUCAGAUGCCAGUGUAGUUGUUUCAAAGAAGAACAUGUGAGCUGAAGCCAGGUGACGUUUACAUUAAAGUAGCUUGGUGAGUAGCUACCAGCCCAUAUGUGCUUCCAUUUCAGACUUGUCUUCACAUUUUAAUUCUUCUCAGCUUUGCUUUUACACACCAAAGCCACAGUAUCACACUGUUAUGAUUACUAAUAUCUUUUUCAUGUCAAGAACCCAGUCCUUCUCUACCAAAACCGAGUACCCUCACCCCCAUUGCUUCCUCCAUCACUUCCAGGGCAGCUCUGGCAUCUCACAGCAAGGCAGCAUUGUUCCGCUCUCACUGCUUACAGACAGGGAUUGCAAGUUGGUGCAGCUCUCAGGGCUGUGCAGGCAGAUCUGUGCACACACAGAUCAUUCAGGCAAUUAAAGUCAGUAACUGGAGAAGCUGGUGGAGCCCGUCAGCCAUCUGCUUUGUCGGAGGAGGAGGGCCUACAGUGAAGCCCUGCUGGAAGCUCUGUUAGUUAUGUAAAGCAGUAAACCGAAAUAAGAUUGGUGAAUGGGGAGCACUGUAAGGUGAGGCACAGUUUGGGCCAAAUCACUCCAUCUCCUCCGUACAA